rnacentral:rRNA from 1 species
GACGAACGCUGGCGGCGUGCUUAACACAUGCAAGUCGAACGGAAAGGCCCUGCUUUUGCUGGGUGCUCGAGUGGCGAACGGGUGAGUAAAACGUGAGUAACCUGCACUUGUCUUUGGGAUAACUUCAGGAAACUGGGGCUCAUACCGGAUAGGAGAUCUUGCUGCAUGGUGGGGGUUGGUAAGUUUCGGCGGUUGGGGAUGGACUCGCGGCUUAUCAGCUUGUUGGUGGGGUAGUGGCUUACCAAGGAUUUGACGGGUAGCCGGCCUGGAAGGGUGACAGGCCACAGUGGGACUGAGGUACGGCCCAUACGCCUACGGGAGGCAGGAGUGGGGAAUAUAGCACAAUGGGCGGAGGCAUGAUGCAGCAACGCCGCGUGGGGGAUGACGGCCUUCGGGUUGUAAACCGCUUUCGCCUGUGACGAAGCGUGAGUGACGGUAAUGGGGAAAGAAGCACCGGCUACCUACGU